GGGUGCGAUAAUACCAGCGUUAAUGCACCGGAUCCCAUCAGAACUCCGCAGUUAAGCGCACUUGGGCCAAAGUAGUACUGGGAUGGGUGACCUCCCGGGAAGUCCUGGUGCUACACCCU
rnacentral:rRNA from 1 species